AAUACUGGACAAUGGGGGCAACCCUGAUCCAGCCAUGCCGCGUGUGUGAAGAAGGUCUUCGGAUUGUAAAGCACUUUAAGUUGGGAGGAAGGGCUUUAGGUUAAUACCCUGAAGUUUUGACGUUACCAACAGAAUACGCACCGGCUAACUCUUUGCCAGCAGCCGCGGUAAUACAGAGGGUGCAAUCGUUAAUCGGAAUUAUUGGGCGUAAAGCGGGCGUAGGUGGUUCAGUAAGAUUGGUGUUAAAACCCCGGGCUUAACCUGGGAACUGCUUUCAUAAAUGCUGAGCUAGAGUACAGUAGGGGGUAGUGGAAUUUCCUGUGUAGCGGUGAAAUGCGUAGAUAUAGGAAGGAACACCAGUGGCGAAGGCGACUACCUGGACUGAUACUGACACUGAGGUGCGAAAGCGUGGGGAGCAAAC
rnacentral:rRNA from 1 species